UCUGCCGUGGCACACCUCCAAGCUUAUUUUCUUUCCCCACAUUAGCUCAGGGAUUGAAAUGCUGACUUCUUUGUUUUGUCAGAAAUAUUGAGCCUUAGCUGCUGUUCAGCUUAUAAACCGCCAACACAAGUUCUGCCAUGGGAUAGGCCUGUAUGGCUAUAAGGUGCUUUGUGGGAGCUCUGGCUAUGAGUUGAUUCUAUGAUGUUGUACAACAGGCAAGAAAACAGAGGAAACUCCCGGGGUAGCAGUUGGGGCUAAGGAAGGCUAAGCUGAUUGCUGCUGGCUGGUGACUUCCCUUAGAAGCUGGUGUUGGACUGGAGCAGCCAGCUUGGGCCAUGAGCCAGAAGUCCCUCUUCCCUCUGAGGACCAGAGCCAACAUGGAGGUUUAGACCAGACAGACGCUGAGCAAGUGUUCAGUGCUGUGGGUCCUCUGCCUGGGAAUGGAGUGGUGUCAGCUGCAGACUGGAUGACUGGGUCUUCAGCCCACCGUUAAUCCGUUACGGUAACACUGACGGCGAGAGACAUCCUAACCCCGGCGACCACAACAGAAUCUACCUCUUUUUCCUCAUCCGACUCUAUCUGGACUCUC